GUCUUUAUGAUAAUAAUUUAAAGUCUAGUCUGCUCAAUGAAUAAUUUUAAAUAGCUGCAGUAUUUUAACUGUACAAAGGUAGCAUAAUCAAUAGUUUUUUAAUUAAAAGCUGGAAUGAAUGACUGGAUAAGAGAUAAAUUUUCUUAAUUUUAUUAAAAUAAAAAUUUUUUUUUAAUUAAAAAAUUAAAUUAAUUUUAAAAGACGAGAAGACCCUAUAGAUUUUUAUAAUUUUUAUAAAUUAUAUUAUUUAAAUAUUAUUUAUGAUAAUUAUUUGGUUGGGGUGAUUUUUAAAUUAAUUUAACUUUAAAUUUUAAAACCAAUAAUUAUUGAAUUUUUGAUCCAAAAUUUUGAUUAAAAGAUUAAAUUACCUUAGGGAUAACAGCGUAAUUUUUUUGGAAAGAUCUUAUUGAUAAAAAAGUUUGC
rnacentral:rRNA from 1 species